UACGGGAGGCAACAGUGGGGAAUAUUGCACAAUGGGCGCAAGCCUGAUGCAGCCAUGCCGCGUGUAUGAAGAAGGCCUUCGGGUUGUAAAGUACUUUCAGUCGUGAGGAAGGUGUUAAGGUUAAUAACCUUAGCAAUUGACGUUAGCGACAGAAGAAGCACCGGCUAACUCCGUGCCAGCAGCCGCGGUAAUACGGAGGGUGCGAGCGUUAAUCGGAAUUACUGGGCGUAAAGGGCACGCAGGCGGUUAAUUAAGUUGGAUGUGAAAUCCCCGGGCUUAACCUGGGAAUGGCAUUCAAGACUGGUUAGCUAGAGUCUUGUAGAGGGGGUAGAAUUCCAUGUGUAGCGGUGAAAUGCGUAGAGAUGUGGAGGAAUACCGGUGGCGAAGGCGGCCCCGUGGACAAAGACUGACGCUCAUGUGCGAAAGCGUGGGGAGCAAACAGGGAUUAGAUAC
rnacentral:rRNA from 1 species